rnacentral:rRNA from 1 species
GACUUAAGCAUAUCAAUAAGCGGAGGAAAAGAAACCAACAGGGAUUGCCCUAGUAACGGCGAGUGAAGCGGCAACAGCUCAAAUUUGAAAUCUGGCCCUUGGGUCCGAAUUGUAAUUUGUAGAGGAUGUUUUUGGUGCGGUAUCUUCCGAGUUCCUUGGAACAGGACGCCUUAGAGGGUGAGAGCCCCGUACGGUUGACUACCUAGCCUUUGUAAAACUCCUUCGACGAGUCGAGUAGUUUGGGAAUGCUGCUCUAAAUGGGAGGUAAAUUUCUUCUAAAGCUAAAUACUGGCCAGAGACCGAUAGCGCACAAGUAGAGUGAUCGAAAGAUGAAAAGCACUUUGAAAAGAGGGUUAAAUAGCACGUGAAAUUGUUGAAAGGGAAGGAUUUAUGACCAGACUUUUUCUGGGCGGAUCAUCCGGUGUUCUCACCGGUGCACUUCGCUCAGUUUAGGCCAGCAUCGAUUUUCGGUGGGGGAUAAAAGCUUUAGGAAUGUGGCUCCUCCGGGAGUGUUAUAGCCUAUUGUAUAAUACCCUACUGGGGAUCGAGGUACGCGCUUCUGCAAGGAUGCUGGCGUAAUGGUUAUCAAUCACCCGUCUUGAAACACGGACCAAGGAGUCGAACAUUUGUGCAAGUGUUUGGGUGUUAAACCCUCACGCGUAAUGAAAGUGAACGGAGGUGAGAGCCCUUACGGGUGCAUCAUCGACCGAUCCUGAUGUUUUCGGAUGGAUUUGAGUAAGAGCAUAACUGUUCGGACCCGAAAGAUGGUGAACUAUGCGUGGAUAGGGUGAAGCCAGAGGAAACUCUGGUGGAGGCUCGCAGCGGUUCUGACGUGCAAAUCGAUCGUCAAAUCUGCGCAUGGGGGCGAAAGACUAAUCGAA